CAUAUUUGCGUCAAGUUAAAGGCUUGCUUGAACAGAAGUCAUUCAUAAAUACACAAACAAAAAAGCCUGUAUCAAACAGUAAUUAUCUUGC